ACAGUUCGGUCCUUAUCCAUCGCAAGCGCAGGAAAUUUGAGGGGAACUAACCCUAGUACGAGAGGACCGGGUUGGACAGACCGCUGGUGUACCAGUUGUCCCGCCAGGGGCAUCGCUGGGUAGCUAUGUCUGGUGUGGAUAAGUGCUGAAAGCAUCUAAGCACGAAGCCCUCCCCAAGAUGAGAUUUCCCAUUUUCUACGGAAAAGUAAGGUCCCUGGUAGAUUACCAGGUAGAUAGGCCGGAGGUGUAAGUACAGUAAUGUAUUGAGCUGACCGGUACUAAUCGACCGAGGACUUGACUUG
rnacentral:rRNA from 1 species